rnacentral:rRNA from 1 species
UACGUAGGGGGCAAGCGUUGUCCGGAUUUAUUGGGCGUAAAGAGCUCGUAGGUGGUUCGGUAAGUCGGAUGUGAAAUCUCCAGGCUCAACCUGGAGGGGUCAUUCGAUACUGCCGUGACUAGAGUUCGGUAGGGGAGUGUGGAAUUCCUGGUGGAGCGGUGAAAUGCGCAGAUAUCAGGAGGAACAGCCGUAGCGAAGGCGGCUCUCUGGGACGGUACUGACGCUGAGACGCGAAAGCGUGGGGAGCGAACAGG